UACGUAGGGUGCAAGCGUUAAUCGGAAUUACUGGGCGUAAAGCGUGCGCAGGCGGUUUUGUAAGUCUGUCGUGAAAGCCCCGGGCUCAACCUGGGAAUUGCGAUGGAGACUGCAAGGCUUGAAUCUGGCAGAGGGGGGUAGAAUUCCACGUGUAGCAGUGAAAUGCGUAGAGAUGUGGAGGAACACCGAUGGCGAAGGCAGCCCCCUGGGUCAAGAUUGACGCUCAUGCACGAAAGCGUGGGGAUCAAACAGG
rnacentral:rRNA from 1 species